GAUGAACGCUAGCGGCAGGCUUAACACAUGCAAGUCGAGGGGUAUUGGUUUUCGGACCAAGAGACCGGCGCACGGGUGCGUAACGCGUAUGCAAUCUACCUUUUGCAGAGGGAUAGCCCAGAGAAAUUUGGAUUAAUACCUCAUAGUAUAGUACUUUGGCAUCAAGGAACUAUUAAAGUCACAACGGCAAAGAUGAGCAUGCGUCCCAUUAGCUAGUUGGUAAGGUAACGGCUUACCAAGGCUACGAUGGGUAGGGGUCCUGAGAGGGAGAUCCCCCACACUGGUACUGAGACACGGACCAGACUCCUACGGGAGGCAGCAGUGAGGAAUAUUGGUCAAUGGACGCAAGUCUGAACCAGCCAUGCCGCGUGCAGGAUGACGGUCCUAUGGAUUGUAAACUGCUUUUGUACGAGAAGAAACAACAUUACGUGUAAUGUCUUGACGGUAUCGUAAGAAUAAGGAUCGGCUAACUCCGUGCCAGCAGCCGCGGUAAAG
rnacentral:rRNA from 1 species